UGGUGAGGCGAAUUUUCUUGGGGUUUGCAGUUUGAAAAAAUUCUUCGUUGAGGAUAGAUCGCUAUUUUUUAGGAGUAAAUUUAAAUUCGAACGAGUUCAACGAUUUUUUCGUGAACAGAACAAAACAAAUCGAUCAAAAUGUUCAAAAACCACUUGGAAAUGAUUGGGCGCAAUGAGAGCCCCAGCAAGAAGGCGAAAUUCUGGCAGUCCUACAUCAGGUCCCUGAAGGGCUCCGAGGAUAUCCGUGCCCACGAGGCGCCCCGUGCCUCUCGUCCCUACAGCUCCUACCUGGACUCGCCCUCCUACAGGAGCAUCUACGACGAGCCCGCCACCGCCAACGAGCGCGUCCAGUCCUCUGGCUACAGAUAUCUGCCAGUGAGCCGCGACACCUACGGCUACUCGCCCCGUGCCAUCUACGAUCAUCACUACAGCCGAACAAUUCCAGCUAACUACGACGCAGAGAAGGCCUGGAAUGAUCAUCUGAAGCGCAUGCAGGAGAUCGAGCGCAGGUACCCAUCUCGCUAUGGUCUCUACUUGAGGGACAAGCCACUCACGCCCAACUCGCUGGUGCCCCUGGAGUACGAGCCAGAGGACAAGCUUCUGGCUGAGCUCAACAAGGCUCGUCGCUCGGCCUCGCCGUUCCGCCCUGCCAGGACGACCCGUGCCGGCAGCGAGCCGUACGUGCCACCGCCGAGCUACUGGAACCGCGAGGGCAGCGUGCCACGCGGAGGACCCUCGGUCUUCGAUCGUGCCACCAGCUUGGCCCCGUUCACGCGGCCCAGCUUCCGUGCCAGCUCCCUGGAGCCGCUGGACGAACUCUUUGAACGUAAGUUGCCCGCGAUCGCCGAGGCUGAUUUGGCUGAUUCGGCGCCAGCUGAUGCGCCCAGUCGGCCACUCGGUAUCUUUGAGCGCGCCGGUUCGCCAAGUCCCACUCCCGUGAAAGCCGGUCGCUGGGGACCCCGUCCCACCGAAGUCGCCUACGAUGCUGAGGGACUCCCCAUCUUCCACCCACGCAACCGCUUCAGGGAUCUGCUGAGCCCCAGCCCCAACUUGCCGAUCUCCUCGAUCGUGCGCGAUCCCUUCUGGUGGGACGUGGAUGACCUGGUGCCCUUCCGCGCCACCUCGGUGCCCCGUGCCUCGAGCCCCGUGGCCCGGGAUUCGUACUUGUCGCCGGUGAAGAACCGCUACUUGUGGUCCAAGCACCCAGCCAGACCCUUGACACCUGAGGAAGAGGAUUUAUUCUAAACAAAAUAUAUAGAUUCAAAAUCACAAACAAUCGUUUAGCUCUAAUAACAAAGCGACGCUAUAUUAAUCAUAUAGCAGUUCUGUAAUUUUUUUGUACUUAAUUUUACAUAAAUUACAUGUAACGAAACGUAAAAAAAAACAAAUUGCUCACCGCUCAAUUUUGUAAACGAACGAAACAACGAACUACAAACCAACAAAAACAUCCUGAAGAACUAAAACAACGAAUGCAUCACAAGGGGCCCCCAAAAUAACGACAACCUGCUUUGGAGUAGAUCAGUAGCAAAAGGCUUUUUAAGUCUUAAUAUCCGUGAAAAACGUUUGAAUUUUUUCAAAACUGCAAGAACACCCCUCGGAACGAGAAAACAACCAUCACUUCCGUCUGAGGAUCUCAAAAUAUUUGCCAAGAAGUGCGUAAUUCCCGUAGAAAAAAAAACAACCGUAUAAAACUCAAAACUGUCUGUUUAAUUUUUAUUUUCCGAUUUCUUAAGAACCUUAUCGUAAAUGUUAAGUGCAAGAAUAUGAAAAAAAUCGAUUUACAUUUAUUAUAAUAAAACAAUAAAAUCAACUUAUGAGUUCCCAUUUGCAACAUCAACAUCGCACACUCAAUGGGCUUCAUAAA